rnacentral:snoRNA from 1 species
GGCAUCGGUGAUUACAACAAAUCUUACCUACAUUAUUUGAGGUUUAUGAAACUAAAUUUUAUCUGAGAUGCCC